rnacentral:rRNA from 1 species
UACAGAGGUCCCGAGCGUUGUUCGGAUUCACUGGGCGUAAAGGGUGCGUAGGUGGUGGGGUAAGUCGGAUGUGAAAUCUCGGAGCUCAACUCCGAAAUGGCAUUGGAAACUACCCUGCUGGAGGUUUGGAGAGGAGACUGGAAUUCAUGGUGUAGCAGUGAAAUGCGUAGAGAUCAUGAGGAAGACCAGUGGCGAAGGCGGGUCUCUGGACAGUUCCUGACACUGAGACACGAAGGCCAGGGGAGCAAACGGG